UACGUAGGAUGCAAGCGUUGUCCGGAUUUACUGGGCGUAAAGGGCGCGUAGGCGGCUUUGCAAGUGACGGGUGAAAUCCCUCGGCUUAACCGAGGAACUGCCUGUCAAACUGCAUGGCUUGAGACCGGGAGAGGUGAGUGGAAUUCCCAGUGUAGCGGUGAAAUGCGUAGAUAUUGGGAGGAACACCAGUGGCGAAGGCGGCUCACUGGACCGGAACUGACGCUGAGGCGCGAAAGCGUGGGGAGCAAACAGG
rnacentral:rRNA from 1 species